rnacentral:rRNA from 1 species
CUCGCCUGCAUGAAGCCGGAAUCGCUAGUAAUCGCGGAUCAGCAUGCCGCGGUGAAUACGUUCCCGGGCCUUGUACACACCGCCCGUCACACCACGAGAGUUUGUAACACCCGAAGUCGGUGGGGUAACCCUUACGGGAGCCAGCCGCCGAAGGUGGGACAGAUGAUUGGGGUGAAGUCGUAACAAGGUAGCCGUAUCGGAAGGUGCGGCUGGAUCACCUCCUUU